rnacentral:rRNA from 1 species
CUACGGGCGGCAGCAGUUAGGGAACUUUUCCAAUGCGCGCAAGCGUGAGAAAGCGAGCCAGAGUGUUGUUCUUAAUUAGAACAACUUUUAUUUAUUGCAAAAAGAUAGAUGAAUAAGGAGUGGGCAAGAUCGGUGCCAGCCGCCGCGGUAAUCCCGACGCUCCGAGUCGCAGCCACAAUUAUUGGGUCUAAAACAUUCGUAGCUUGUCUUGUAAGUUCCUUGUGAAAUCCGGCAUCUUAAGUGUCGGCCGCGCAGGGGAUACUGCUUGACUUGGGACUGGAAGAAGCAAAAAGUAUGUUCGAGGUAGUGGUAAAAUAUGUUAAUCUUGAACAGACUAACAACAGCGAAGGCAUUUUGCUAGUACAGAUCUGACAGUGAGGAAUGAAGGCUAGGGUCGCGAAAGGGAUUAGAUACCCUAGUAGUC